UACGUAGGGUGCGAGCGUUAAUCGGAAUUACUGGGCGUAAAGCGUGCGCAGGCGGUUCGUUAAGACAGCUGUGAAAGCCCCGGGCCUAACCUGGGAACUGCGGUUGUGACUGGCGAGCCUAGAGUGUAGCGGAGAGGGGGGUGGAAUUCCACGUGUAGCAGUGAAAUGCGUAGAGAUGUGGAGGAACACCGAUGGCGAAGGCAGCCCCCUGGGCUAACACUGACGCUCAGGCACGAAAGCGUGGGGAGCAAACAGG
rnacentral:rRNA from 1 species